AAAUAGAUACCCCCGGGUAGUCCACGCCGUAAACGAUGAGUGCUAAGUGUUAGAGGGUUUCCGCCCUUUAGUGCUGCAGCUAACGCAUUAAGCACUCCGCCUGGGGAGUACGGCCGCAAGGCUGAAACUCAAAGGAAUUGACGGGGGCCCGCACAAGCGGUGGAGCAUGUGGUUUAAUUCGAAGCAACGCGAAGAACCUUACCAGGUCUUGACAUCCUCUGCCAACCCUAGAGAUAGGGCGUUCCCCUUCGGGGGACAGAGUGACAGGUGGUGCAUGGUUGUCGUCAGCUCGUGUCGUGAGAUGUUGGGUUAAGUCCCGCAACGAGCGCAACCCUUGAUCUUAGUUGCCAGCAUUCAGUUGGGCACUCUAAGGUGACUGCCGGUGACAAACCGGAGGAAGUGGGGAUGACGUCAAAUCAUCAUGCCCCUUAUGACCUGGGCUACACACGUGCUACAAUGGAUGGUACAAAGAGCUGCGAACCCGCGAGGGUAAGCGAAUCUCAUAAAGCCAUUCUCAGUUCGGA
rnacentral:rRNA from 1 species